GAUGAACGCUAGCUACAGGCUUAACACAUGCAAGUCGAGGGGAAACGAUAGAGAAAGCUUGCUUUUUCUAGGCGUCGACCGGCGCACAGGUGAGUAACGCGUAUCCAACCUGCCCACCACUUGGGGAUAACCUUGCGAAAGUAAGACUAAUACCCAAUGAUAUCUCAAGAAGACAUCUGAAUGAGAUUAAAGAUUUAUCGGUGAUGGAUGGGGAUGCGUCUGAUUAGCUUGUUGGCGGGGUAACGGCCCACCAAGGCGACGAUCAGUAGGGGUUCUGAGAGGAAGGUCCCCCACAUUGGAACUGAGACACGGUCCAAACUCCUACAGGAGGCAGCAGUGAGGAAUAUUGGUCAAUGGGCGAGAGCCUGAACCAGCCAAGUAGCGUGCAGGAUGACGGCCCUAUGGGUUGUAAACUGCUUUUAUAAGGGGAUAAAGUGAGUCUCGUGAGAUUUUUGCAUGUACCUUAUGAAUAAGGACCGGCUAAUUCCGUGCCAGCAGCCGCCGUAA
rnacentral:rRNA from 1 species